GAUGAACGCUGGCGGCGUGCCUAAUACAUGCAAGUCGAACGCUGGAGAUCUAGCUUGCUAGAUCGAAGGAGUGGCGAACGGGUGAGUAAUACAUAAGCAACCUACCCACGAAGACUGGGAUAAUCUCUGGAAACGGGGACUAAUACCGGAUAGGUAAUCGGAAGGCAUCUUCUGAUUAUUAAAGGUUAAAAACACUGGUGGAUGGGCUUAUGGCGCAUUAGUUAGUUGGUGAGGUAACGGCCCAUCAAGACGAUGAUGCGUAGCCGGCCUGAGAGGGUGAACGGCCACAUUGGGACUGAGACACGGCCCAGACUCCUACGGGAGGCAGCAGUAGGGAAUUUUCGGCAAUGGGGGAAACCCUGACCGAGCAACGCCGCGUGAGUGAUGACGGCCUUCGGGUUGUAAAGCUCUGUUGUAAGGGAAGAACGGUAGAUAGAGAAUAUCUAAGUGACGGUACCUUACCAGAAAGCCACGGCUAACUACGUGCCAGCAGCCGCGGUAAUACGUAGGUGGCGAGCGUUAUCCGGAAUUAUUGGGCGUAAAGGGUGCGUAGGCGGCCUGUUAAGUAAGUGGUUAAAUUGUUGGGCUCAACCCAAUCCAGCCACUUAAACUGGCAGGCUAGAGUAUUGGAGAGGCAAGUGGAAUUCCAUGUGUAGCGGUAAAAUGCGUAGAUAUAUGGAGGAACACCAGUGGCGAAGGCGGCUUGCUAGCCAAAGACUGACGCUCAUGCACGAAAGCGUGGGGAGCAAAUAGG
rnacentral:rRNA from 1 species